CAGUCGCCGCGGUAAUACAGAGGGUGCAAGCGUUAUCCGGAAUGAUUGGGCGUAAAGCGUCUGUAGGUGGCUCUUCAAGUCCGCCGUCAAAUCCCAGGGCUCAACCCUGGACAGGCGGUGGAAACUACCAAGCUGGAGUACGGUAGGGGCAGAGGGAAUUUCCGGUGGAGCGGUGAAAUGCGUAGAGAUGUGGAGGAACACCAGUGGCGAAGGCGACUCUCUGGUCUGUAACUGACGCUGAGGAGCGAAAGCAUGGGGAGCGAACAGGAUUAGAUACCCCCGUAGUCCCUGUCUCUUAUAC
rnacentral:rRNA from 1 species